AAAGGAAUUGACGGGGGCCCGCACAAGCGGUGGAGCAUGUGGUUUAAUUCGACGCAACGCGAAGAACCUUACCAGGGCUUGACAUCCCCUGACAGCGCAUGAAAGUGCGUUUUCUAACUUUCGGGUUAGACAGGGAGACAGGUGGUGCAUGGUUGUCGUCAGCUCGUGUCGUGAGAUGUUGGGUUAAGUCCCGCAACGAGCGCAACCCCUACGUUUAGUUGCUAACAGGUGAAGCUGAGAACUCUAAAGGAACUGCCGUUGACAAAACGGAGGAAGGUGGGGAUGACGUCAAAUCAUCAUGCCCCUUAUGUCCUGGGCUACACACGUGCUACAAUGGCCGGUACAAAGGGCAGCGAAGCUGUGAAGCGGAGCGAAUCCCAAAAAGCCGGUCUCAGUUCGGAUUGCAGGCUGCAAUUCGCCUGCAUGAAGUCGGAAUCGCUAGUAAUCGCAGGUCAGCAUACUGCGGUGAAUACGUUCCCGGGCCUUGUACACACCGCCCGU
rnacentral:rRNA from 1 species